AUCCCAUCUCUGAUUGUUUGGACACGGGGAAAUGGUUUCAAAAUAAAAGAGGGAAGAUUUAGAUUGGAUAUAAGGAAGAGGUUUUUUACAAUAAGGGAGGUGAGGAGUGGCACAGGUUGGUUGCCCAGAGGUGGCGGUGCCCCAUCCCUGCAGACACCCGAGGUCAGGCUGGAGGGGCCCUGAGCACUGAUGGAGCUGUGGUGUCCCUGUUUGUUGCAGGGAAUUGGACCAGAUGGCCUUUAGGGGUCCCUUCCAACUCAAACGAUUCUGUGACUCUAUGAUUAUAUGAAUUCCCCCAACAGAAGUUCUGUCCAAGUUAGAGCUGUCAAGUACACCACUAGACUAAGUUGUAUCACUGAUAUAACACUUUAACACAUAAGUAAGGGAUCACACCUUUACGUUAAUCCUCAAAUAUGCUGACAGGUUCUCAAAAAGGGAUAUAACUACACAAGUGCAAGCACUGAGGGCAGUUCCAAUGACCUCAGAGCACAGCAAGGGGAUGAUGAUGCCACCUGCCCAGUUCUGCUCCUGCACUGAUGCUGGGGUCUGGGCUCAUAGGACGAGUUACAGCAGCUGUACUUUUCUCAGCCUGAAAAUUCAGACCCAGCAGAACAGGGAGUGGAAGCUUCCAUCAGCACUGAUUUCAAACCUCAAUGAUCCUGCAACCUCCAACCCUAUUUACAACAAAGUUGGAACUCCUGUGAUGUCUGAACUAAGUCUAGAUUUAUGCAAGCACAGCUGGGGAAAAGGAAGAAAGAAAGGAUGAAAAGAAGAAAGGAAGAAAGAAAAUAACUCCUCUAUUUUAAGACCUCAGUUCCACUACCAUUUCUCUCUCCCUGCAGCAGAGAUUUCCCUUUGCACAGUAAUAACACAGUCCAGCUUAGAGAUCUAGGCGAAACCUAGCCACGUAAUUACUACAUUUCCACAGAUAUUCUUGUACUGCAGUAACACUCCCUAGUGCAGGGGUAGUUUAAACAAAGAACUCAGUGUGGGGAUGCAGUUAAAACAUCAAGCACGUCUUUUUUAUGGUGCAAUACAGACCCAUUUUUUAAUUAUGCCCAAAUCCGCGUUGCAGGUUGGUCCUUUGGAAACGAUAACUGGUGUUUUUAUUUUCACAGAGAACAGUUAAGCGAGCAGUUUACCUUGCCAACCUCCAAAUCAGUUUUGAAUGAUGAAAGGAAUAACCUCACACACGCACGUGCUUUUCCCCUUGCCUUCAGUCAGUUGUGAAAUAAGCUGCUCAGCGCUGCAUCCAUAAUGGGGACUGCAGUGCAGAUGGCAAAAGCACAAGCACAACUCAUACUGUGGCUCCGCCAAUCGAGGUGUACUGCAUAAGCAGAGCAGCUGAAAAAAGCAAAACACACUGAUAGCAAGGAGGGAAAGAGAGGCUGCUGCUCCUGGAACAUUUUCACCUUCAUCUUUCUAUCUAUAGAAGAUGCUGUCUGGGGUAGCAAUUACAUGGAACAACGUCCGGAAGAUCCUGAGUGCGAUGCUGUCUGCACUGCAGUCACUGGGAAUGAGGAUUUCACCCCAGGAUCAUUUUAAGUCUGUGUUCCAGUGACAUUCUUUGCUUUGUUGAUGAGAGAAUGCAGAGGGGAAAGAAAGCAAGAAUCUCACACCUCCACCCUACUGUUCUGUUGGUCACCAGCAUGGAAAAUGCCCACAGCCACCACCAGUCCUGGGGCCUCAUUGCUGCAUUCAGCCUCAGUCUAGAACAGUGAGUGACAUAUUCUGUCUCUAACUGCACUCUCAGCAAAGCCCUUUGG
ensembl:lncRNA